rnacentral:rRNA from 1 species
UACGAAGGGGGCUAGCGUUGCUCGGAAUCACUGGGCGUAAAGGGUGCGUAGGCGGGUUUUUAAGUCAGGGGUGAAAUCCUGGAGCUCAACUCCAGAACUGCCUUUGAUACUGAAGAUCUUGAGUUCGGGAGAGGUGAGUGGAACUGCGAGUGUAGAGGUGAAAUUCGUAGAUAUUCGCAAGAACACCAGUGGCGAAGGCGGCGCACUGGCCCGAUACUGACGCUGAGGCACGAAAGCGCGGGGAGCAAACAGG